rnacentral:rRNA from 1 species
UGUAAGCGUAUACCAAAGUUGUUGCAGUUAAAACGCUCGUAGUCGGAAUUUGGCAGUUCCGGAUGUGUGCACGUCGUGUGCGCACUUCGCGGGGAUUGCUUUUGUGGUCUUGCGUAGGAUGAGGCACUUUUAUUAGUGAACGUCCUCACGCAACCACUUUUUACUGUGAGAAAAUCAGAGUGCUCAAAGCAGGCAUUUGCCGUGAAUGUAUUAGCAUGGAAUAAUAGAAUAGGACUUGGUUCUAUUUUGUUGGUUUGUUGGGACUGAGUAAUGAUUAAGAGGGACAGUUGGGGGCAUUUGUAUUUCGGCGCUAGAGGUGAAAUUCUUAGAUUGCCGAAAGACAAACUGCUGCGAAAGCGUCCGCCAAGGAUGUUUUCAUUGA